GAUUGAACGCUGGCGGUAUGCCUAACACAUGCAAGUCGAACGAGGGUAGCAAUACUCUAGUGGCGGACGGGUGAGGAAUACGUAGGAAUUUGCCCUUAAGUGGGGGAUAACCCGGGGAAACCCGGAUUAAUACCGUAUGAUCUUUUCGAAGCAAAGCCGGGGACCGCAAGGCCUGGCGCUUUUGGAGAAGCCUACGUCGGAUUAGCUAGUUGGUGAGGUAAUGGCUCACCAAGGCUGCGAUCCGUAACUGGUCUGAGAGGAUGAUCAGUCACAUCGGAACUGAGACACGGUCCGAACUCCUACGGGAGGCAGCAGUGGGGAAUAUUGGACAAUGGGCGAAAGCCUGAUCCAGCAAUACCGCGUGUGUGAAGAAGGCCUUCGGGUUGUAAAGCACUUUAGGUCGGAAAGAAAAAACUUGAGUUAAUACCUUAAGUCUUGACGGUACCGACAGAAUAAGCACCGGCUAACUCUGUGCCAGCAGCCGCGGUAAUACAGAGGGUGCAAGCGUUAAUCGGAUUUACUGGGCGUAAAGCGUGCGUAGGUGGCUGUUUAAGUCGGAUGUGAAAGCCCUGGGCUUAACCUGGGAACUGCAUUCGAUACUGGAUAGCUAGAGAUCGGUAGAGGGCAGCGGAAUUCCGGGUGUAGCGGUGAAAUGCGUAGAUAUCCGGAGGACACCGAUGGCGAAGGCAACUGCCUGGGCCUGAUCUGACACUGAGGCACGAAAGCGUGG
rnacentral:rRNA from 1 species